GUGCUCGCCUCGGUAGCACAUAUACUAAAAUUGGAAUGGUAAAAAGAAGACUAGCAUGGCCUCUGCACAUGGAUGACUCGCAAAUUCAUAAAGUAUUCCAUAUUUCU